AUGCAUCCAUCAAGCAUGGACAAAGACACACAGGACGGGCGGUCACAACGACAACCCUUGUUUUCCCGGCUUAAGUGCGGCGAGGAGGAGACGCUAGCACCUAGGAGCACCGACGAGCGCCUCUACGUCACCGACGUCGUCCUCGUCCGCCCGGGGAGAGCAGCCGGCGGCCAGAGCGUCGUGGCCGCCUGCGUGGAGGUCGGCACGCGGAACCUCAUGCUCGGGAUGCUGUCGGCGGAGAACCCCUGUGUGAACCUGCAGACGCCCGUGGAGCUGGACAAUGAGUUUUGCUUUUACGUGGUACGUAUGGAAGACGGCUACGCCGCCGACGAUGACGCCGACACCUACGUGGACGCCAAUGCGGCAGUGGUCGAGUUUCAGGGUUUCGCUCUCGCUUCGCCGUCUCUCCACACGGAGGAGAAAGACGAUGACGACCACAAGGAAGGGCAGGAGACUGACGGCGAGAUUAACCCACGUGUGGCCAGGGCGAGCAGUGCUGGCUGCAACGGCAAGGACGUUCGACAGGUUCUAGUUAGAGGUUUAUUUGGGAUUUUUAUGUUUGCUUCUAUGCUGGCAUCGAUGAUGUAA
rnacentral:rRNA from 1 species